rnacentral:misc_RNA from 1 species
AAGAAUUAUUUACUAGAUAAGCUAGCAGUUUUAUUUAACAAGAGUGGCGGCAACAUUCAUGACUUCAACCUCCCAAGGAAAACCGACAACCUAGAAGGUAGAAAUGUCAAUCAUUUACUCAAAGAAGAGUUGUCAUAUGAUGCAAACAGCCUUUCAUAUGAAUCUGAAGUCCUAAUUUAUCAAUUAAACACAGAACAAAUGAAAGCCUUUAACACUAUUGUGGAAAAUGUGCUAUCUGGACAGCCUGGCUUCUACUUUGUUUCGGGGUAUGGUGGGACUGGAAAAACCUUCCUUUGGAAUACCAUCGUAGCAUAUCUGCGUUCGCAGAAAAAGGUUGUUCUUACAGUUGCUUCUUCAGGGGUUGCCGCAUUACUCCUUCCAGGAG